GGCGGACGGGUGAGUAAUGCCUAGGAAUCUGCCUGGUAGUGGGGGACAACGUUUCGAAAGGAACGCUAAUACCGCAUACGUCCUACGGGAGAAAGCAGGGGACCUUCGGGCCUUGCGCUAUCAGAUGAGCCUAGGUCGGAUUAGCUAGUUGGUGAGGUAAUGGCUCACCAAGGCGACGAUCCGUAACUGGUCUGAGAGGAUGAUCAGUCACACUGGAACUGAGACACGGUCCAGACUCCUACGGGAGGCAGCAGUGGGGAAUAUUGGACAAUGGGCGAAAGCCUGAUCCAGCCAUGCCGCGUGUGUGAAGAAGGUCUUCGGAUUGUAAAGCACUUUAAGUUGGGAGGAAGGGUUGUAGAUUAAUACUCUGCAAUUUUGACGUUACCGACAGAAUAAGCACCGGCUAACUCUGUGCCAGCAGCCGCGGUAAUACAGAGGGUGCAAGCGUUAAUCGGAAUUACUGGGCGUAAAGCGCGCGUAGGUGGUUUGUUAAGUUGGAUGUGAAAUCCCCGGGCUCAACCUGGGAACUGCAUCCAAAACUGGCAAGCUAGAGUAUGGUAGAGGGUGGUGGAAUUUCCUGUGUAGCGGUGAAAUGCGUAGAUAUAGGAAGGAACACCAGUGGCGAAGGCGACCACCUGGACUGAUACUGACACUGAGGUGCGAAAGCGUGGGGAGCAAACAGGAUUAGAUACCCUGGUAGUCCACGCCGUANACGAUGUCAACUAGCCGUUGGGAGCCUUGAGCUCUUAGUGGCGCAGCUAACGCAUUAAGUUGACCGCCUGGGGAGUACGGCCGCAAGGUUAAAACUCAAAUGAAUUGANNNGGGCCCGCACAAGCGGUGGAGCAUGUGGUUUAAU
rnacentral:rRNA from 1 species